UACGUAGGGUGCGAGCGUUUGUCCGGAAUUAUUGGGCGUAAAGGGCUCGUAGGCGGUUUGUCGCGUCGGGAGUGAAAUCCACUGGCUUAACUGGUGGCUUGCUUUCGAUACGGGCAGACUGGAGGUAUGCAGGGGGAGAACGGAAUUCCAGGUGUAGCGGUGAAAUGCGUAGAUAUCUGGAGGAACACCGGUGGCGAAGGCGGCGUCCUGGACCAAUACUGACACUGAGGAGCGAAAGCCAGGGGAGCAAACGGG
rnacentral:rRNA from 1 species